rnacentral:rRNA from 1 species
UGGUACCUAGGGAGGCAGCAGUGGGGAAUAUUGCACAAUGGGGGAAACCCUGAUGCAGCGACGCCGCGUGAGUGAAGAAGUAUUUCGGUAUGUAAAGCUCUAUCAGCAGGGAAGAAGCAAGACGGUACCUGACUAAGAAGCCCCGGCUAACUACGUGCCAGCAGCCGCGGUAAUACGUAGGGGGCAAGCGUUAUCCGGAUUUACUGGGUGUAAAGGGAGCGUAGACGGUA